CUUCCUCCCUUUCCCCUCAAUUUGUCUGUCUUGUCUCUGUCUCUGUGUGUCUCUCCCUCCGUCUCCACUUCCCUCCCUUCUUUUUACUCCCUCCCUCUCUUUCUUUCUCUUUCCCUUCUUCCCUUCCUUCCUCCUUCCUUCCUUUCUUUCUUCCCUCCUUACUGCCUCCCUUCAAGCCUUCCUUCUCUCUUUUCUUCCUCCCUCAUCACCCUUCCUUCUCCUCUUCCCGUCUCCUUCCCUCUUUUUUUCUUUUCUUUUUUUCCCCUUCCUCCUUCCCCCACUCUUCCUUUCUUUCCACUUUCCCUUGCUUCUGUUUCUUCCCUUUUACGAUAUUGACUGAACCCCAUACUGGGUGCCAGACCCAGCAAACUCAGCACAUUGGUGACUGAAGAUUCUAAUCUUAAAAAAAACUUAUGUGCUGAUAGGUGAAGGUUACCAGACGUUUUGACUGUCUUUACUUCUAGCUGUAUGGUGCUUUGUCUGUUUUCAGAUAAGCUCGUAAUUAUAGUCUCCUCUUAAGAAAGGAUCUGUUAUCAGUCAUUUAUACUUUAGUAACAAUUUAGACCCAUGAAUCACCUCUCCCAGGAAGAUUUGUAGCUUUACCUUGAACUUCAGUGGUGAAAUUAUAGGCUUAUAUUUUAGGACCCUAUUGUUGGCAACUAAUAGAAACCAAUUUGAAUUAUUUCAAGUAAAUAAAAAGGGAUUUAUUGGUUUACAUGUCUAGAAAGGGCAAGAAUAAAGCUUGCCAGAGGGAAGACAGGAACCAAGGAUGUAAUGCUGUUGACUGGCAUGCCAGCUCGCUCUCUCUCUUGUCUCUCUGUAUAUCGGUCUCCAUCUCCCCCCUUCUUUCCUAUAUGGCUGGAAACAUGGCCACCAUCUGCUUCUGAGGCCUCUUCUUUAUAGUGUCCUGACCAACUGGGAAAAAGAUCUCUUCCUGUCAGCUUCACCUGGAAAACAGUCCCAGGGAAGGACUCUGAUUGGCUUGGCUUGUGUCACAUGUUUUAUGGGACAGGGGAUGGGAGAUUGAUUCGGCCUGGAUGCCAAAUCUACCCCCUCACCCCCUUGGCCAAGAGAAGUGGAGUCUGUGAUUGGCAGCUCCUGCCAGACUUCUAUGGUUAGCCAGGGAAGAUGAGGUUCUUCUAAUGAAGAGAGUUGCUUUUUCAUGAAAGCUAAAAGUGUGUGUCUAUUAUUUCCCUGUAACAAGCCUCUCUGGUGUCCGUGAGGCAGAGAUCAGGGUGUGGGAAGAGGGGUUGUGUUGGGGAAGAGACCUUCUGCUGCUCUGAAAUCAAGCCAGCUAGGCCCCCUAGGCCCCCUAAGCAUAGGGCAAAGCUUGGUUUCAGCUUUUCAUCCACUGUCUGUAACUUAUUUUGCUUUAAGAACCACUAUGCCAACUCCCACUGUGGGUCUGGCCUCUAUUGUGGCAUUGCCUUGCUCCAGGCUCAACCUGUGGGUUUACCUGUCUGCUCCUCAUUACCCUGGGUACCUCCUUGGUACUUACAGUGCCUAGCACAGUGACUACUACUGUCCAAAUGCCCCUCAGAGGAAAAAGGUCUGGUGAACUCAUCCAUACUAUCAAGUUAGUAAUUUCCCUACCCUCUCAAGAGUGAUUCUACAUAGGUCACAAAGUGGUCACAUCAAUGGAAAGUGAAUAAGAGUACGUAGCAGAAAACACCUCCCAGAAAAAUGUUCCUGGAAGUGGAAGCCCAAAUUCAUCUAGUUUUAAAUUCUCAGCACUAAUACCAUGCCUGGCACAUAGAAGGCACCAGAAAAUGCUAGUUGAGCUGCACGGUCCUGGUUCGGGCAGACUCCCCUGAGAGAUUUCUGCCUGCUGCCAUUCAUGACCUCCCAGUGAGUGUAGAAUGGCCUGGAGACUGGCUUCAGAGCAAUAGAAUAUGGCAAAGAUGAUGGACGUCACUCCUGUGUUGAGGAUACAUAAGACUUCAGUCUUACUUGCUGACCGUCUCUCUUGCCUUCUUGGCUUGCAUGUUUUGAUGAAGUAAGCUGCCAUGCUGGAGAAGCCCAUGUGACAAAGACCUGAGGCUGGGCCCCAGUUGACAUCCGGCUACAACUGAGGCUAUCAGUCCAACAGCCUUGAAGGAUUGAAUCCUGCCAGCAACUGUGUGAGCUUCAAAGUGGAUCCUUCCUCAGUGGAACAUUCAGAUGAGACCUCAGCCCUGGCUGACAUCCUGAUCACAGCCCUGUGAGAGUCCCAGAAGCAGAGGCCCCAGUUAAGCUGUGCCCAGACUUCUCCCCCAACAGCCCAACAGCUCUUGAGUGAGUGAGACAGAGCUGACUUGAGUCCUGGGGUCACAGAUGCUUACAGGGUCUGUGACUUUGGCAUGUCCUGAGAGGGCUGCCUACCUCUGAACCUUGGAACCAGGGUGAGGUCAUUGGGUGUGCUGCUGCAACAGGGUGGUUGUAAGGAUCAAAGAAGAUAAUGUGGUCAGAGUGCCGAGAGUAAUGCCUGAUAUGGUAGAUAGUAAAUGGUCAAUAAAUAUCAGCUGCUAAUACUAACUUUUAAAUAUUUGUGAAUGUCACUUUCCUGCUCAAAACCAUCUUGUGGCUCCCUGUCUCACUCGAAGUCAAAGCCAAAUCUGCACCUUGGCUUUCAGGGCCGGAUCUGGCCCUCAUUCUCUUUCCAGCCCCA
rnacentral:lncRNA from 10 species